AGAGUUUGAUCCUGGCUCAGGACGAACGCUGGCGGCGUGCCUAAUACAUGCAAGUCGAGCGGACAGAUGGGAGCUUGCUCCCUGAUGUUAGCGGCGGACGGGUGAGUAACACGUGGGUAACCUGCCUGUAAGACUGGGAUAACUCCGGGAAACCGGGGCUAAUACCGGAUGGUUGUUUGAACCGCAUGGUUCAAACAUAAAAGGUGGCUUCGGCUACCACUUACAGAUGGACCCGCGGCGCAUUAGCUAGUUGGUGAGGUAACGGCUCACCAAGGCAACGAUGCGUAGCCGACCUGAGAGGGUGAUCGGCCACACUGGGACUGAGACACGGCCCAGACUCCUACGGGAGGCAGCAGUAGGGAAUCUUCCGCAAUGGACGAAAGUCUGACGGAGCAACGCCGCGUGAGUGAUGAAGGUUUUCGGAUCGUAAAGCUCUGUUGUUAGGGAAGAACAAGUACCGUUCGAAUAGGGCGGUACCUUGACGGUACCUAACCAGAAAG
rnacentral:rRNA from 1 species